rnacentral:rRNA from 1 species
GAUGAACGCUAGCGGCAGGCUUAAUACAUGCAAGUCGAACGGUAAGUGUUGUAGCAAUAUAACACCAAGAGUGACGUACGGGUGCGUAACACGUAUGCAACCUACCUUGUACAGGAGGAUAGCUCGGGGAAACUCGAAUUAACCCUCCAUAAGAUCGUGGAGAGGCAUCUUUCAGCGAUAAAAACUGAGGUGGUACAAGAUGGGCAUGCGUCUGAUUAGUUAGUUGGUGGUGUAACGGACCACCAAGACGAUGAUCAGUAGGGGACCUGAGAGGGUGAUCCCCCACACUGGCACUGAGAUACGGGCCAGACUCCUACGGGAGGCAGCAGUAGGGAAUAUUGGUCAAUGGAUGGAAGUCUGAACCAGCCAUGCCGCGUGCAGGAAGGAGGCGUUAUGCGUUGUAAACUGCUUUUGCCAGGGGAUAAAAUGAGCGUGCGCGCUUAAUUGAAGGUACCUGGUGAAUAAGCCACGGCUAACUACGUGC